AUUGAACGCUGGCGGCAGGCCUAACACAUGCAAGUCGAGCGGAUGAAGGGAGCUUGCUCCUGGAUUCAGCGGCGGACGGGUGAGUAAUGCCUAGGAAUCUGCCUGGUAGUGGGGGAUAACGUCCGGAAACGGGCGCUAAUACCGCAUACGUCCUGAGGGACAAAGUGGGGGAUCUUCGGACCUCAUGCUAUCAGAUGAGCCUAGGUCGGAUUAGCUAGUUGGUGGGGUAAAGGCCUACCAAGGCGACGAUCCGUAACUGGUCUGAGAGGAUGAUCAGUCACACUGGAACUGAGACACGGUCCAGACUCCUACGGGAGGCAGCAGUGGGGAAUAUUGGACAAUGGGCGAAAGCCUGAUCCAGCCAUGCCGCGUGUGUGAAGAAGGUCUUCGGAUUGUAAAGCACUUUUAGUUGGGAAGAAGAGCAGUAGGUUAAUACCUCGCUGUUUUGACGUUACCAACAGAAUAAGCACCGGCUAACUUCGUG
rnacentral:rRNA from 1 species